rnacentral:rRNA from 1 species
AAUGGGGGAAACCCUGACGCAGCAACGCCGCGUGGGUGAUGAAGGCCUUCGGGUCGUAAAGCCCUGUCGGGAGGGAAGAAAUGAUUGAGAGCUAAUACCUCUUGGUCUUGACGGUACCUCCGAAGGAAGCACCGGCUAACUCCGUGCCAGCAGCCGCGGUAAUACGGAGGGUGCAAGCGUUGUUCGGAAUUAUUGGGCGUAAAGCGCGUGUAGGCGGUCUUUUAAGUCUGAUGUGAAAGCCCCGGGCUCAACCUGGGAAGUGCAUUGGAAACUGGGAGACUUGAGUACGGGAGAGGAGAGUGGAAUUCCUAGUGUAGGAGUGAAAUCCGUAGAUAUUAGGAGGAACACCGGUGGCGAAGGCGGCCCCCUGGACGAAGACUGACGCUCAGGUGCGAAAGCGUGGGGAGCAAA